ACAUGUCGAACUACCGGAUCGAUCACUCCUUCGGGGGUGUGGAGUUCUGGGGCUGCGUGGGAACUUCGCUGGUAGUAGUCAAGCGAAGGGGUGACGCAGGAAGGUAGCCGUACCAGUCAGUGGUAACACUGGGGCAAGCCGGUAGGGAGAGCGAUAGGCAAAUCCGUCGCUCACUAAUCCUGAGAGGUGACGCAUAGCCGGUUGAGCGAAUUC
rnacentral:rRNA from 1 species